AUGGACGGCAAGACGGAGAUGCUUCUUCCGCGCCCUGUGACCGUGGCCAAGAAGAAGAUCCCAGGUUCUGUUUGGCUGGUCUGCGGAUGGGCGCUCCUCAGCGCCUGCGCCAUCGCCUUGGGCCACUACGAUCUCCCCUGCAGACAGGCCACGUUCGUUCUGCGUUGCGGGUGCGUUGAGCUGACGGACACCAAGGCCGCCUGCUUGAGCGCCCUCUGGAUCGGGGCCCUGCUCUGCACCGCGUCCCAGGCAGCCGCGGCGGCGCUGGCGCUGCUGCUCCCACGCCUCCACCCCGAGCUGCUCUCGCUCUCGCUCUGGCUCGCUGCCACCGGCCACUGCAUGGCCAGCGGCGCCGUUUUCAUCCUCUGCUUCGCCGAGCCAUGCCCAGGAUGCUGCUUCCACAGCACACUCUUCGUCCUGGCCCUGUGCUUGUUGGAGUUGGGCGACGUCGUCGGCUCCAUGGCUCUCGUCGUGGGAGCGGUGAGGAGUAGGGCACACACCAUGUAG
rnacentral:rRNA from 1 species